CGCCUGGGGAGUGCGGCCGCAAGGUUAAAACUCAAAUGAAUUGACGGGGGCCCGCACAAGCGGUGGAGCAUGUGGUUUAAUUCGACGCAACGCGAAGAACCUUACCUGGCCUUGACAUCCAGAGAGCUUUCCAGAGAUGGAUUGGUGCCUUCGGGAACUCUGAGACAGGUGCUGCAUGGCCGUCGUCAGCUCGUGUCGUGAGAUGUUGGGUUAAGUCCCGUAACGAGCGCAACCCCUAUCCCUGGUUGCUAGCAGGUAAUGCUGAGAACUCCAGGGAGACUGCCGGUGACAAACCGGAGGAAGGUGGGGAUGACGUCAGGUCAUCAUGGCCCCUACGGCCAGGGCUACACACGUGCUACAAUGGCGCGUACAGAGGGCUGCCAACUCGCGAGAGUGAGCCAAUCCCUUAAAACGCGUCGUAGUCCGGAUCGGAGUCUGCAACUCGACUCCGUGAAGUCGGAAUCGCUAGUAAUCGCGAAUCAGAAUGUCGCGGUGAAUACGUUCCCGGGCCUUGUACACACCGCCCGUCACACCAUGGGAGUGGAUUGCACCAGAAGUAGUUAGUCUAACCUUCGGGAGGACGAUUACCACGGUGUGGUUCAUGACUGGGGUGAAGUCGUAACAAGGUAACCGUA
rnacentral:rRNA from 1 species